rnacentral:rRNA from 1 species
GACGAAGGAUGCAAGCGUUAUCCGGAUUCAUUGGGUUUAAAGGGAGCGUAGGUGGUCUUAUAAGUCAGUGGUGAAAUCUCUGGGCUUAACCCAGAAAUUGCCAUUGAUACUGUAGGACUUGAGUACAGAUGCCGUUGGCGGAAUAUGACAUGUAGUGGUGAAAUACAUAGAGAUGUCAUAGAACACCGAUUGCGAAGGCAGCUGACGAAACUGUAACUGACACUGAGGCUCGAAAGUGCGGGGAUCAAACAGG